AGUGAAGGUCCCAGUGUCCAGGUGACCUCUGUUCCAGCCUCUCUGGUUCCCUACAGUCUGUCUUUCUCUGCCCGAGUGUCCUCUCCUCGUCCAGUCUCUAAAGUGGAGUCCAACUGUCCCCUGGACCCUCUCCAGUACCUCAACACAGAGCAAACCCAGGCCACGGUCAAGUUGGCUGCAGGACACAAGUUUGACAGAGAUGUUGAACUGCUGAUUUAUUACAAAGAUGCCCACCAGCCCUCUGCUGUGGUGGAGGCAGGACAGACCUCUGCCAAGCCUGGCACUCUGAUGGGUGAUCCAGUA